AAUAAAUACCUCAGCUAUGCUCUUCAGAUUGUUAUGGUUUUUACAGUAAAAACAUUGAAAGACGAUGCUAAACCAAGACGUAAUAAUGUGUCUGAAUUCUGAAACAAAAAUUUUAUUUUGCUUUUGCCGUCAUCUGAUGAGCCUUUAAGCUGAGAGAAUUUAUACCUCCAAAGUAUGGCCUAAAAGGAAAGAGAAAUGGAAACAAAUGGGUAGAAAGACCAAAAAGGCUGAAGAAAACCCCUCAGCUAUUGAUAAUGCUCUCCAGAGCCUAUGUCAAACCAACAGACCCUCAUUGCCUGAUCUGCACGGUUUCACCAAGUGCGCUGGGACACGUGCCACACUACAUCUGCAAAAACAGAUGAAGCAGGAAGAUCAUGUGUAAAUCGUUUUGG